GACGAACGCUGGCGGCGUGCUUAACACAUGCAAGUCGUACGGUAAGGCCCUUUCGGGGGUACACGAGUGGCGAACGGGUGAGUAACACGUGAGUAACCUGCCCACAACUUUGGGAUAACGCUAGGAAACUGGUGCUAAUACUGGAUAUGUGCUCCUGCUGCAUGGUGGGGGUUGGAAAGCUCCGGCGGUUGUGGAUGGACUCGCGGCCUAUCAGCUUGUUGGUGGGGUAGUGGCCUACCAAGGCGGCGACGGGUAGCCGGCCUGAGAGGGUGACCGGCCACAUUGGGACUGAGAUACGGCCCAGCCUCCAACGGGAGGCAGCAGUGGGGAAUAUUGCACAAUGGGCGCAAGCCUGAUGCAGCAACGCCGCGUGCGGGAUGACGGCCUUCGGGUUGUAAACCGCUUUCAGCAGGGACGAAGCUUUUUGUGACGGUACCUGCAGAAGAAACACCGGCUAACUACGU
rnacentral:rRNA from 1 species